UACAAGCUACGAUGUACGUAUUUAAUUAAGUUUUAACCUCUAAUGAUUGGAUAGGGAGUUUUACAUCGGAAUUGGAAUGUCGGGCCGCCAAAGUAGCGGAAGACAGGAAGGUUUCUGCGAACACCCACUUUGCGAAGUGGUGGUUUAAAACUUUUAUUAGCAUAAUACGGCACCCGUGGCCUGUGC
rnacentral:other from 1 species